rnacentral:rRNA from 1 species
UACGUGAGGUGACCAGCGUUGUCCGGAUUUACUGGGCGUAAAGAGCGCGCAGGCGGUCGUUUCAAGUCGAGUGUGAAAGCCCCCGGCUCAACUGGGGAGGGUCACUCGAUACUGAUCGACUUGAAGGCAGGAGAGGGAAGCGGAAUUCCCGGUGUAGUGGUGAAAUGCGUAGAUAUCGGGAGGAACACCAGUGGCGAAGGCGGCUCCUGGCC